GAUGAAGAACGUAGCGAAAUGCGAUAAGUAAUGCGAAUUGCAGAAUUUCCGUGAGUCAUCGAAUCUUUGAACGCACAUUGCGCCCCCUGGCAUUCCGGGGGGCAUGCCUGUUCGAGCGUCUCCGGGAAGGAGGCUCACGCGACUGAACGCGCGGUGUUGGCGGCGACGGCGGGCCCGAGCGGGCGGCCACCUCGCUGGAAUCCAUGGGCGGACGCCUGCGGCGCGGCCGAGCGUGAUAUGACUCAUCGGCGCUCGAGCGCGGCGAGGCUGCCUGCCCCUGGCCCGUGCGUCGGGCGGGGAGAGCAAGACAAUGGAACUCCUCGAAUCAGGCAGGGAUACCCGCUGAACUUAAGCAUAUCAAUAAGCGGAGGA
rnacentral:misc_RNA from 1 species